rnacentral:rRNA from 1 species
GUAGGUGGCAAGCGUUGUCCGGAAUUAUUGGGCGUAAAAGCGCGCGCAGGCGGUCCUUUAAGUCUGAUGUGAAAGCCCACGGCUCAACCGUGGAGGGUCAUUGGAAACUGGGGGACUUGAGUACAGAAGAGGAAAGCGGAAUUCCAAGUGUAGCGGUGAAAUGCGUAGAGAUUUGGAGGAACACCAGUGGCGAAGGCGGCUUUCUGGUCUGUAACUGACGCUGAGGCGCGAAAGCGUGGGGAGCAAACAGGAUUAGAUACCCUGGUAGUCCACGCCGUAAACGAUGAGUGCUAAGUGUUAGGGGGUUUCCGCCCCUUAGUGCUGCGGCUAACGCAUUAAGCACUCCGCCUGGGGAGUACGGCCGCAAGGCUG